UACGUAGGGGGCUAGCGUUGUCCGGAAUCUUUGGGCGUAAAGAGCGCGUAGGCGGCCAGCCAAGUCCGGUGUGAAAGUCACAGGCUCAACCUGUGAAUGCCGCUGGAAACUGUCUGGCUAGAGUCCGGAAGGGGCGAGUGGAAUUCCUGAUGUAGCGGUGAAAUGCGCAGAUAUCAGGAGGAACACCUAUGGCGAAGGCAGCUCGCUGGGACGGUACUGACGCUGAGGCGCGAAAGCGUGGGGAGCGAACAGG
rnacentral:rRNA from 1 species